GGCGAGAUGGCCGAGCGGUCUAAGGCGCCAGACUAAGGUUGUUUCCAUAUCUGGUCCGAAAGGGCGUGGGUUCGAAUCCCACUCUCGUCA